rnacentral:rRNA from 1 species
AUUCCCCUAGUAACGGCGAGUGAAGAGGGAAGAGCUCAAAUUUGAAAGCUGGUACCUUCGGUAUCCGCGUUGUAACCUCGAGACACGUUUUCCGUGCGGCGCUAUGGACAAGUUCCUUGGAACAGGACAUCGUAGAGGGUGAAAAUCCCGUACUUGCCAUGGAUGUACCGUGCUUUGCGAUACGUGCUCUAAGAGUCGAGUUGUUUGGGAUUGCAGCUCAAAAUGGGUGGUAGACUCCAUCUAAAGCUAAAUAUCGGGGAGAGACCGAUAGCGAACAAGUACCGUGAGGGAAAGAUGAAAAGCACUUUGGAAAGAGAGUUAAAAGUACGUGAAAUUGUCGAAAGGGAAGCGCUUGAAGUCAGCCAUGCCGCUCAGGACUCAGCCUGGCUUUUGCUUGGUGUAUUUCCUGGGUAGCAAGUCAGCAUUGGUUUGGAUCGUCGGAGAAGCAUAGUCGGAAUGUGGCGCCCUCGGGCGUGUUAUAGCCUUCUAUUGGAUACGACGAUCUAGACCAAGGAACGCAGCGCGCCU